GCCGUAGGCUUCUUCACUGUGAAGCAAACACAAGUUUUUGACAGAAGAGAAGAACACAUACACUCAAGAUCUCGAUGCAAUUCUCACACGAAUAAGGUGGCUAAUUAAGUAGUGGGAGAGUCACCGGAAGAUUGUCGGAGAUUUGUCCAGCAGAAAAAAAACACAAACAAACACAGAACCGAGAAACAACAAGAGAUCCGCCGGAAAAAAACCAAACGGUAAGGAAAAGGCGUACUUAUCGCCGGAGGAGAAGCUGUAGAGCUUGCCGGAGGCGGAGACGACGAGAAGAGCGACGGAUGCGUCACAGAGAACAGAAAGCUGACGAGCUUUCUCGAUGAGACCGUUGCGACGUUUGGAGAAGGUGACUUGUCGGCUACUUUUGUUCUCAAUUCGCUUGAUUUCUAGUUUUUUUCUUCCCAUGGCUUCUCUCCGAGAGGGCUUUGUGCCCUAAUUUGAUCCUCAGGUUUGGGUUCAAGUCGCCGGAGAUAC
rnacentral:antisense_RNA from 1 species